GCUUCUUCUGCAUCUGGGGACCCCUCCCAAAGAAGAUGUAGUUGACGAAGGCGUACUCCAGCAGGGCCAGGAAGACCAUGACGAAGCAGCCCAUCAGCUUUCCGAACCAAUCAGGGUCCGGUGAGGUGCUACUGGCAGCUACGGGCUUGGUUUAGGUGUGUGUGACGGCCGCGACUGUUUGUUCUAAACAACUGCCGACGUGAAAGACAGAUAGUUCAUCCAAUCCCCUGCCAGGAAACCCAGCCCUCCAUCUCAGCAUCACAUAAUGGCCUGAGAGGGAAAAAAAAUGGAUUUACAUCAGCACUUCUACUACAGCGAGUGAGCUAGGAAAUCAUGCUGUGUAAGUGCCAAUGUACAGAGAUGACUGCAUGUAUUAUACGGUCGAGUAAACACAGAGGAAACAGUGUUUAUAUGUAAAUUCACUCACCAUGUUGACUUCUGACACCAUGUCUAUGCUGGCCACGUCUAUGCUCAUCCCGACUGCAACAGGGGCCCCUGGAGGAGGUUACACAGCAUAAAAAUGUAUAUAGGCCUACACCUGUGAAUGAAAGACUGUGAAUGGCGCCAAAAGUGAAGCGAAAUUGAUGGACGUAAAUACGACACAUACCUCCAAAGUCCGGCCUCAGUCGGAUAUCAUAUCCCUUCAGUAGUUUAUCCACCGUCUCCUUCACGAAAGACAUGUUGCCCGGUUCAUUGACGCUAGAAACAAGAAGGAAAACAUCACCUUGACUCCUGUGUUUUUUUAUGGUCAAUCAGCCGGGGCAAUAACCUUGACUUUACAGAAUGACAAAAGCACUCACCUUUUCGCGCAACACACAAUCGAACCGACAACCAGUGCGGAUAAGACGCGAAACUGACGAACCCUGUGCAAAGCAAACAUCACCCUUUCCUAUUUCUUUAUUUCUUUCUUUUCCGCUCUUUACAACCACAAUAACAGCAACAGUCGAGACGGCUCCGGACGCUCUUCAAAUCAGAGUAAAUCCAUUGAUUGCCCGAGAGGAGAAAGUCGACUGAGAAGGUGGGGGGCGGGAGGGGGGGAGUCAGCAGCUUGCAGUGGAUGGAGUCAGAUAUGAAAUAUGGGCAGACAUCGGCUCCUCGGCAUGAACACUGGCUCCGCUUUUCUUUGCCGUCUCUGACUGUGAGGCUCUUACAUUCAGGAGCUGAAGCGCAUAUAUUGAUGAGGAGGGUGUGCAGGGAUGCUGCUGCUGGUGGCGGUGAAGGCACUCUGCUUGUUCAAAUGAAAGACGAAGCCCAACACUUACACACUGCAAAAAAUUACCCCACAUUAGCUGCAGUAUAUUCAGGGGUUUUUAUUUGAGGGGAAAUAUCCCAACAGAUAAAAUUCAGUUUCCUUUCUUUCUAAUGCACAUUUACUUUUUUUCAAAUCAUUUAACUGUUU